GAUAGCAGUAGGAGAUAGGUUAGGUUAUAGAUUUAUGUAUUACUAGUGUGUUGCAGGCGGGAACCCUAGCCGGCGACUGCCUCGUUUUCAUCUGCAGUACCAUUAAUCUGUAGAGUACAUCCACAGCGCUAUCAAACUAAAACCCCAUGGCUGUGCGUUUUGUUCUUGAGAGGACGGUGAAAAUCAAAACUGGGUAUGUCAAUCCAAAGCUUGAAUUUUGGUUUGCAGCAGCGCUUUCAAACCCUAGUUGUAUUCCUCUUUGCCGAGUACUGACUGUUGCAAAAAUUGCGACUCAACUGCUAGCUUAUGUGACCAUUAUCAUCUGAUUGAGGUCUCUCUAUCUCUAGACUCCAACCCACACACACACUCAAUUUCCCAAUAUUAUUGUUUGUUAUUAUUUUAUUGUAUUGUAUUGUAUUGUAUGUGAGCUUUUUUUAAUAACAGGACAUUAUAGUUCCUCGCUUGGGUUCCCGUAAUCCCCUUGCUGGUGGAUCUGCCCUGUAUGAUAAACCCUUAGACCAUCCUGAGAUUUUAAGGUGUUGUUGGUAUGGAAACAAAUUUUUACUUGAAUUUUUUAGGUGACACCUAUGCAUUCUGCUAUCUAUUCUCAUGGAUAAAUUUCAUUUUUGGCAAAUUGUAACAGAUAAAUGUCAUGUGCUCAUAUUAGAGAGGACGAUGCAAUAUCAGAGCACCUUGUGACAAAAUAUUUGAUUGCAAAAAAUGCCGUAAUGAAUCCAAGGUCUUUCAAGUAUUUUGUUUGGUUUUGUUUUUUUUUUUGUAGUUGAUUAAAAUAAUAUUACUCUGCUAUUGCUACUGUUGUGAGCAUGUAAUUGACACCAGAGAGAUCAAGCUAAUUUAUUAUUAUUUUUUUUCAAAUUAUUAUUGAUGACUGUACAUAUUUGUCCUACUUUGUUGGGAGGUUUUAUACACCAACGGAUUUUGUAAGGUCUUUUGUGCUCACUUAUGUUGAAGACUUGUAAUGGUCUACUGCUGUAGCAUUUUUAUUUGGAGAUUUUGAUCAGGAUUCUACUUUUUCGCUAUAGUUUUAAUAUGUUCUUUUACAUGUUUUAUUGUUUUAGCUGUUGUUAAUCUUUUAUGACUACUUACCGGAUACUCUCUGGAAUUUUAGUUUGUUAAGAAUAACAUAUUCUGAAAAUUAAAUUAAAUCACUUAUUGACUAACAUGGAUUAUUAUUAUUUUUUAUUAUUGUGGUGACUUUGGUUGGUUGCAGUGUCUGGGUGAUGAUGAAUAAAGAGACAAAGAGGUUAUCUAAGAUUCUAGAUGAAGUUUGAGUGGAAAUAUGUCCAUAUUUCUCUUUUGUUCUCCGUCCCACAUCCUAUGACGCAUGGACACGGACAUAGACACGGACACGGGACACGACAAUUUUGAAAAAAUGGGGACACGGACACGGCAAGGAACAUGACAAAUUUUUUAAUUUUUUUAUAAAUAUUUUUA